CCGAGGCUUCUUAAAAGCAGAUGUAGCUGCAGCCUCGUCGUCAUUCGAGUAACGACGACUGGAGAAUCAACGUUGGAUGAGACGUUUUGUUCUUUUUUCAGCAUUUGGAAACAAGACAAUAUAUUUGAUAGCUUUUUAGCUGUUCUUCUACACUCGCGCCUUGUUUAAGUUUUUUCUACAUAGCAGCCUUUUCUGUCGACAUUUUUAUAAGGAGACCAACGAGCUACAUUUAAAUUGCCUUCGGCAGAAAAACUGAGAGAUGGCUACACAGGUUGACUCGCACUCUGAUAUGGCACAGGCUCGCCAGAGCGACGGCAUCAAUGUGAUCUUCGACCAGAAGAGCCCAGGCUCUUCACACUCCCGAUCUCGCUCACGAUCCGUUAGCAGCUCUGCCAGCAGCCGUUCCACUGGUUCUGACUACAGAGGGCGUAAAAGCCGCCACGGACGCAACAGGUCUUCAUCCUCCUCAUCUUCAUCUUCUUGCAGGAGCGGGUCAUCCUCUAGCUCCAGGUCCCGUUCCAGGUCCCGAUCCUAUCCGCGAUGCCACCGACAUUCAUCCCGCUGUAGAUGUGAUAACCACCGCAGUUAUGGCGUCGACCGCUACCGCUGGUCCCCACCCAGGCGCUACAGGGCACACUCCCGCUCCUUCAGCCGGUCCCCACCCCGCCGCUAUAGGGGACGUUCUCGCUCCCACAGCCGAUCCCCACUACGCCACUACAGGGCUCAUUCCCGCUCCUACUCACGCUCCCCGGUAUCAGACAGAUAUUCCCGCCAUCGCAGAAGCUAUAGGUCCAGGUCUCGCUCUUGGUCUCCUGCACGCUGGAGUAGGUACAGGAGACCAGCAAGUCAGCUGAGAUACAGAUACUCUCGAUCUCCUUCCAUGACCUACAGGGGGCGAUCGCGAUCCAGGUCAUCUGGACGUUCUGUCAGUUUAAGCCUACGUGACAAAAGGGAACUCCUUGAAGUUGCCAAGGCCAAUGCUAUGCGAAUGCUUGGAGUGGAGAAGCUGGACCUUCCUGAAAGUGUGAAGCCUAUCCUGUCAGAGCAGCCAGCAGCCAGAGGUUCUUCACCAGAGCCUGUUACAGGGGUGAGGCAUGGCUCCCAAAAGACUCAUUUAGAGGUGAGUGUUUUUACUACUGAUAAAAAAAAUUAUGCUGUAGAAGAAAUUACCUCCUCAAUCACUGAGAAAUUCUUUGUAAAUUCUAUUUUUUUGUAGCUACAGUACAUUGCUAUUGGCUUGGUGAAAGUUGAAUAGAAGUAAAUAUACAUGUUUGUUUUUUUUUGUUUUUUUUUUGUUUUAAAAUAAAUAAAAGUAGGUUCUUUUAGAUUCAAGUUCCUUACAUGAUUUUUUUUUUCUUGAGAGCACACCAAAUGUAUUACCUGCUCUUGGUCUAGUUUCUUUUCUUUCUCUUUUGGUUUUAUUUCCUGUCUUUUGUUAACCUGACCCAUGAGGGAACACACCUGCUCUCUGUAUUUAUUCCUGUCUUCAUAGAUAACAUGACAGUGGUCUCCUUCACUCAUCGGCACCUGGGAUUAAAAGGCUGUCAUGUGACAUGGAUGAAAUGGGUUAUUGUUACUUAGCAGAAUCUGCCACUCGCUGAAGGAGCACAGGCGUGUGGACUGCAUUAUAAUGACUAUUCCAGUCAAGACAACUCUUCUCCAUAUCCUAAAGAUAAGUUGGUACACAAGAUGUGUGCUGAGGGGCUGGGGAACUUGCGUCUUGAUCACUGUUCCAUCACUCUUCCAGUUUAAACAAACUAAACUUUUUUAUUAUCAUUUUAUACAGCUUCAAGGUCUGUCCUUUAGAUAUAAUUUAAGUAAUGAAGGGCUGCAUGAAAGCUGCAGUUUGAAAGUGCCAUAUAUUAAGUAGAAUUGUUUAACUAGAUCUUGAAGUCCAUCAGUUUGAACUUCAGGUUGAAGCGCAGUUCCUUGCUCAUGAGUAACUUGUAAUCUGUUUCUCUCCUUGAAUUAGGACGAGGCAGAGCCUGGAGUGUCCAGUCCAAGGAUAGAAGGCAGGAAAAUUGCUUUCAGUGUAAAUAAUUCUGUUGCGAAGCCAACAGUGGUGGCUCCAUCUCCUGCAAAGGUAACUCCCAGAGUUGACAGCGUUGAAAGCCGGAAGCCUUACGGCCAUUGGAUUCCCAUCAGUUCAGGCCAAAACUCCAGUCCAAACAAACACCCUUAAGCUAGUUCUGUGACUGGGUAUAUGGACACUGUAAAUAAUGUACAUAGUUUGUGAAAUAUCAAUUUUGUGGUCAUUUUCUUUCAGAUAUUAAAGAUGUAAAUGGGAAGCUGUGAAGAAUUCGUUAAGGUGGGAUUAUUCCUUCUCCUCUGUAUUGUGUAUUUAUUAAUAAAGAAUUGAAUCAAGAA